GCAAAAAAGAGAUGAAAUCAAAUGGUGGAGUACCAGUGUACUGAAUACACAUCUAAAAACUAAACAUGAAAUUGACUUGCUGAAUAGGAAAUUGUCCAAGAUGCAGCAUCAUCAUCGGGUUUUUUUUAUUGGUACCGUUAUCAACGGACGAAAAAUCCAAACCUCUGAUCACCAAUUUCUUACAAAAUCAACGCUACAAUUCGUUGUUUUCAGUUUUUAUAGAUUUAACACCCUUUAUGUUGGAAUCUUGGAUUAGCGAGAGAUAUUGGUUCGUCGCCUGCUGAAAAAUCAUUGAUUUAGUUCAAAAAUUGAUCAUUUAUUGAGGAUGAUAUUUUAAACAUCUGUUUGAAUGUUUUUUACGGGCUCAUUUUACAAAGGAGAAAAAAGAAAAAGUUAGUUAUUUUGAUAUAAAAAUAAAUAAGCUUAUUGAAUCAAUGAAAUUUUAACUAUUAACUUGAGAUUUUAUUCAUAUUAUGAUAAAUUUAAAAAAAGUUUAAUACCAGUGUAAUACUGGUACUACCGGUAUUGAAAUUAUUCAGUACCGAAAAACCGGUAUUGAAAAAUGGUAUCGGUAUUGGAAGCACAAUGUUUAUAAUUUCAUUUCAAGUUAUAUUUUGUAUUAGUUCUUUGUAUAGUUCAUAAAACAAUAACUUCGAAGGAAUUUGAAUUCAUUUAUAAUUUAUAUAUAUUUUAUUUACAGAUGAACUUAAUAAAGUAAAUCUUAGCUUACUCAAAAUUAUAAUAUUUUAAAAAUCAAAAAAAAAAAAUGCUUUUCAAAUACUGCAAUGUAAAUAAUAAUUUGAUUAAAAUAAUAUACCACGGAUUACCUAAUGAACUUGUAUAAUAUUGUAUAAUCCAAGAUUUAUAUGGAGCUUUGAGACUAACAUUGAAUAUAAAAUUAUACAUCUAUAUUUAUGUAUAAUAUAUUUAUCUAUAAUAUGCAUAUAUAUUUAUGUAUAAUAUAUUUAAAGAUUUAGUACUUGUUUUAAAACGGUUAAUUCUUGCAGUUCUUUUGGGUGUACAGCUAGAUCUGUUAAAGGGAUCUCCAGAAGUUUUCAUAGAUUUCCUGUCAAUCCAGAUAAAAAAGCAGCAUGGGUUCUUGCAACAAAGUGAAAGAAUUUUGUCCCCACUUCUGCUUCUGUUUUAUUUGUUCUGAUCAUUUUUCUAAAAAUUGUUUUGAUGAAAGCAAAAUAUCAGGUUACUGUUUAAGAAAAUAUCUGAAACCUGAUGCAAUACCAACAAUUUUUGAUUUUCCAAAACAUUUAAAACCAACCACUAGUAAAAUUCAAAAAGUACCAACAGAAAGAAUGCUGAAAAAACAGAUAGAGAAAGAAAAAAAUGACAGUUUUUGAGAAUACUUAUGAAGAAAAGAUGAUUAGUACAAAGAAAAAAAUGAGUGUAGAAGUUUGCAUGGAAAUUGAAGUCUUAAUCCUGGUGUUAAUGAUUUAAUUCAAAAACUGAAAUCUAAAAGCAAAUUAAAAUAUUCUCCAUCAUUGCGAACUUUUGCGUUAACAUUGCAUUUUUAUUCAGCAAAAGCGUAUUUGUCUUCCUCACCCAAAUACUUUGAGAAAAUGGUAUAGUAGUAUCAAUGGACAGCCAGGCUUUACUCAUGAAGCAUUCUAAAUUUUAAAACUGAAAAAUAAUGUAUCUAACAAAAAUUGUAUGCAGUUUGAUAAUGGACGAAAUGUCAAUUCGAAAGCAAAUUGAUUGGGAUGGGCAUAAAUCUUAUGUCUUUAUUAAUUAUGGAACAGGUUUUAAUGAUGAGUGUUGGUGUUGCUAAAGAAGCUUUUGUUUUGUUAUUAGUUGCUAUUAAUGGACAUUGGAAGAUCCCAAUAGCAUAUUUUUUAACAGAUGGACUUAAUUCAAAAGAGAAAGCAAACAUUAUUUCUGAAUGCCUCAUCAAAGUUCAUGAAACUGGAAUUCAAGUUAUUUAUUUAACUUUUGAUGGUACAGCUGCAAAUUUAUCUAUGAUGAAAAGGUAAAGCUACAGUUACGCGGCUUAAAAUAAUUAUAUUUUUGCCAGGGGGUUUUGCUACAUCGACUAUCUUAUAACCUAACUCGUAACGGAGUGCUGCUACAUCAACUAUCUUAUAGCCUGCUGCUACAAGGAAGUGCUGCUACAUCGACUGAGGGUUUGGCAUGGGGAAGCAAUCUUUUUUCUUUUAUUAUAUCGAUGUAGCAAAACCCUCUGGCAAAAAAUAUAAUUAUUUUAGGCCGCGUAACUGUAGGAUUACCGAUAAAAAUUCUUAGUGCUGACUUUAAUGACAUAAGAAACCUGAAAACAUUCUUUCAACAUCCAGUUAGUGCAGAACCAGUAUUUUUAAUUCUGGAUACUUGUCAUAUGUUAUAAUUAGUUUUAAAAUUAGUUAGAAAUUGCUUUGUUGAAAAGAAAUUGCUAAAAGACAGUAAUAAUGGUAUUAUUAAUUAUGCUUUUACUGAACAAUUGUAUGAGCUUCAAUCGAAAGAAGGAAUUCAUGCUGCUAAUAAACUGAAAAAACACCAUAUUGAAUGGAAACAAAAAAAAAUGAAAAUGAAAUUGGCAGCACAAACCUUAAGUAAAAUUGUUGCAGAUGCUCUUGAUUUUUGUGCAAACAAGUUAAAAUUGAAAGAGUUCCAAGUUUGUGGACCAACUAUCAAUUUUAUUUAGCUUACAGGCAAAAGUUUUGAUUUAAUAAUCAGUCGAAAUUUUAUUGGUAAAAAUCAUAAAGCUCCUAUCUCUUUAAGCAAUUUGGAAUACUGUACAAAUUUUGUCAAUAUGAUAUGUCAGUACUUGUCCAGUUUGACAGACAGUGCUGAUAGCUUAAUUUAUAAAACAAACAGAAAAACUGGCUUCAUUGGAUUUAUAUUUAGCCUUCAAUCAGUAAUUCAACUUAGCCAAUACUUUAUUUUAUCUUCAGAAAGCCAAUUUAAAUUCUUGUUGACAUACAAACUGAGUCAAGAUCAAAUUGAAAUGUUCUUUAGUGCUAUUAGAAGUCAAGGCGGUUUUAAUAACAAUCCAUCACAAAACAGUUUAUGACAACGUAUCGGCGUUUGUUAGUACAUCACUCAUUACGCAACAUAAAAUUGGUAAUUGUUUAGCUCAGGAUGCUACAGAAAUACUUUCUGUAACAAACAGAAUUGAAAAUCAUCAGGAAUGUAAAUUUAAUGACGAUGGUUCAACUUUAUUUAUAGCUAAUGAGGAUACUACACCAGUAAGUAUUAUGGAACCAUCACAAUUGUCUGAAUAUUCUGAAGAAGUAGUGAAGUGUAUAGGUGGAUUUGUUAGUAGAAAACUAAAAAGAUCUAUUAAAUGUAAAGCCUCUUACUGAUGAUAAUUCACAAAGUUUACUUGUUGAUCAAAAAAGCAGAGGUGAUCUUCUUUAUCCAUCAAAAGAUGUUAUUGUAAUUUGUUCUUUUGUUGAAAAGUUUAUUAGACAUCAAGUUA